ACCUGGGUGGCUCAGUCGGUUAAGUGUCCUGACUUUGGCUCAGGUCAUGAUCCUAUGGUUGGUGGGUUCAAGCCCCACAUCGGGUU
rnacentral:tRNA from 1 species